rnacentral:rRNA from 1 species
GACGAACGCUGGCGGCGUGCUUAACACAUGCAAGUCGAACGGAAAGGCCUUGUCGGUGGUCCUCGAGUGGCGGACGGGGGAGUAAGACGAGGGUGAGCUGCCCUUCACUCUGGGAUAAGCCUGAGUAACUGGGUCCAAUGCCGGUAAGGGCCGCACUUUUGUAUGUGUUGGGGCAAGUGUUUUCGGUGGAGUUUGAGGCCGCGGUCGAUCAGUUUGUUGGUGGGGUAAUGGCCUACCAAGGCGGCGACGGGUAGCCGGACUGAGAGGUUGGUCGGCCACAUUGGGCCUGAACGGCGGGCAAGACUCCUACGGGAGGCAGAAGUGGCGAAUGUUGGACGAUGGGAGGCAGCCUGAUGCAGGGAGGCCGCGUGGGGGAAGACCGCCUUUGGGUUGUAAAAACCAUUCGGCAGGGACCAAGCGUUUUCUGACGGUAACUGGAGAAGAAGCACCGGCUAACUACGUG